UUUGUUGGCUAAGUGCUGUGACUAGGACUGCCAGUACUAUGUUGAAUAUAAGUGGUAAGAGUGGAGAUCUUUACUUUUUACUGACCUUGGAGGAAAGCUUUCUGUUUUCUCCACUGAGUAUGAUGUCUGCUGUGGGCUUACAUAGAUAGACUAUAUUAAGCUGAGGUCAACAUGGCUGCCAGAGCAUUUCCUCCUUUCCCAGAAGUGCCCUCCAUGUCGUACCCCGUGGGCUACCCUUUAUCACCAUCCAUGGGCUUUGGGCCACCCCCACCUUCUCCAACCUGGUAGCCUCUGGGACCUCACCCUCCACCUCCACCAUCUGGAAAGAUGAUCUGAACAUCUAUGCAAGUCAGAAUCAACUUCCAUCCACCUCCAGCCUUUAUGAAACCCAGGACGUGGUGUAGCUCCGAUGGGGGAACAUCAGUUGUGUCUCUACCAAGAAUGCAGAGUAA